rnacentral:tRNA from 1 species
CGGGGUGUAGCGCAGUUGGUAGCGCGCGCGUCUGGGGGGCGCGGUGUCGCAGGUUCAAGUCCUGUCACUCCGACCA